CUGAUUCCACAGACAGCCGUUCAGGCCCUCACACAGCUCUCUCUGCGUCAACCAGGAUGGUGAAAAAGAAUUUAUAUGGAGGCAUGAAUCAAGUCUAACAUCUUCAAUGAUUGGUAAUUCAUUUAAGGGCUGACCAGCACUUUAAAAUCCUAGAUAUUUAGUGAAUAAAAAAUGUUUCCCAUA